AUAUACUUAUUCGUCAAAUCGUUUACAUAAUAAUCAUCGAUAUAAUUAUUCAUCAAAUCGUCUUUACAGUUUAAGAGAUAUUUAAGAAAAUGUUCACAAUAUUAAAAAAGAGAAAUCAGGUCACAAUAUAUACAACAAUACUUACUCAAUCCUUUACAUAUGUUAACAAUGUCUCUCCAUUGACUUUUAUCAUUUGCAACUCUAGUGAUAUUGUUCAACAUUCUUUUAUUUCCAUUUCGAUUGUCCUUCUCCACGUAUCCUUUGAUCUUUCAGGCUAUUUCUUUCCAGGUAGUGUCCGUUUGAUAACUCUUCUCGUUAUAAAUUGUAUAACUCAGCACAUAACCCAAAUAUCCCCAAUGUCUCUUUUUUUUCUUUCUGCCACUUCCUUCUUGCUUAUCCGAUCUUUCAUUUACCGUAGAUUCAUAUAUUUCGUGAGAUCUUAUUUUUGCGUGGAUAUAAUGAUGUGUUUAUUGACGAGGCAAAACUUUAUUGUCUAAUUAAUAUAUCUGCAAGUAUUUAUUUGGGAGGAAUGAAUUUUUGCGAAUGGCUAGUCUCGUGCAAUUUCGCGUAGACAAUGUUCUCACGAAUAUAAUUUGAGUCAGAUUACCGGUAGUAUCUAUUUGAUUUUUGCAGUAAUUCUAGAUAAUUGUGGUUUUUGAAGAAGAUGUUGUUUGCUUUACUCAUCGGUGUGUGUAUUUUAGGAAUACCUAAUCCAGUCGCUGGAUCGAUAUGGAUUGGAGCAACAGACCAAAUCAGAGAAAAAGAUUGGCGGUCAAUAACCACUGGUAAAUCUGUACCCUACACCAACUGGUCCAGAGGUAACCCUAACAAUAACAGAGGAAUUCAACAUUGUGCGACGUUAAACUGGGGAGGAAGAGGUCGAUGGGAUGAUAACUACUGUUUUAGAAGAUUAACAUUUAUUUGUGAAGUAUCAAGUUUCGGAUACUGAUACGGUCGUUGGGGCGUAUCACACCAAUGUCUACGAAUGACAAUAUUAAAAUUGUCUUACUUACUAGAA